rnacentral:rRNA from 1 species
UACGAAGGCCCCGAGCGUUAUCCGGAAUUACUGGGCGUAAAGCGUCUGUAGGCGGGAGUGUAAGUCUCUCAUGAAAGACCGGGGCUCAACCCCGUGUUUGUGAGGGAUACUGCAUUUCUAGAAUCGGGGAGAGGGAAGCGGAACGGUAUGAGUAGGGGUGCAAUCCGUUGAUACAUACCAGAACACCAAAAGCGAAGGCAGCUUCCUGGAACCGCAUUGACGCUGAGAGACGAAAGCGUGGGGAG